rnacentral:misc_RNA from 1 species
UCCGAGUUGACCCCGGCAGUCUCCUAUGAGUCCCCGGCAUUACCCGCUGGCAACAUGGGACAGGGGUUGCGCUCGUUGCGGGACUUAACCCAACAUCUCACGACACGAGCUGACGACGGCCAUGCAGCACCUGUGUUCUGGCUCUCUUUCGAGCACUCCCAAAUCUCUUCAGGAUUCCAGACAUGUCAAGGGUAGGUAAGGUUUUUCGCGUUGCAUCGAAUUAAACCACAUCAUCCACCGCUUGUGCGGGCCCCCGUCAAUUCCCUUGAGUUUCAACCUUGCGGCCGUACUUCCCAGGCGGAUAACUUAAUGCGUUAGCUGCGCCACCAAAAGCCCAUGGCCCCUGACAGCUAGUUAUCAUCGUUUACGGCGUGGACUAC